UACAGAGACUGCAAGCGUUAUUCGGAUUCACUGGGCGUAAAGGGUGCGCAGGCGGCCAAGUGUGUCAGGUGUGAAAUCCCGAGGCUUAACCUCGUAACUGCGCCUGAAACUACUUGGCUAGAGUACUGGAGAGGGUAACGGAAUUCACGGUGUAGCAGUGAAAUGCGUAGAUAUCGUGAGGAACACCAGAGGCGAAGGCGGUUACCUGGACAGUUACUGACGCUCAGGCACGAAAGCGGGGGGAGCAAAAGGG
rnacentral:rRNA from 1 species